AUGCUGCGGGCUCUGCAAGGCAACCCCUCCCCUAGACUGAUUCCAAGCCACCGGCGGCUACACAGAAAGGUCCCCCAAACCUCACUGCCGGCUCCCCCGGCUGGCACGAGCAGCACUGGAGCCUCCAACAAAGGGAGCCCCCCACAUCCACCUGCAGAGGCCCCAGGUCUGGCCCUAAAUCCCCAUGUUCAACCUCUAAGGCCCAGCUCUGCCCAUAGGGGCACCAGCGCCCCACCCAGGCGCAGGAUGGCUCUGGGAAAACCACGCCAUGGUUGGCAGGACCCCCAACCCUGGGCAACCCUGCAGCGAUGCCAGGCCCCCGGGGGGCUCAGCUCCUCUCUCCCCUCCCCCCCUUUCUCGGCUGUGAACCAGCCAGGCCAGAGGCACACGUGGCUAACAACGCCCCCUCCCAGUGCUGUUCUCAGUGCCCUGUGGGUCUGCCAGCCACGGGGCAGGGUGAGGGGCCCAGGAGGCCCAGGUCCUGCAGUGGCCUCGCUUCCCACAGCUGCCCUAGUGUGGGCAGAGCUGGAGGGGAGGCAGCGUGGGGCUCCAGCACCCUCCCUGCCCCUCUCCGAGGGGCACCUGUCCCCCAAGCCUCGCAAAGAAAGGCCCCACCAGAGCAGACUGCUCUGUCCUGGCCAGCAGGAGGCACCGGCAGGCCCGGCCGCCCUCACCACCCCUUCCCCUGGCAGAAGUCCCUGCAGUGCCUGCGCCAUGCCAGCAGGUGCAGGGGGUGCAGGGGGUGCAGGGGAGUCCAGCCUCCCCCUGGUGAGCCAGGCAUCCCAGGGGCCCCAAGCCUUCUCCAGGUCCAGAUGCGGACCGGCUUCCGCCAGCACUGGCGCGUCACCUCCUUGCACUCCUGCGGCCCCGCGUGAGAAGUCUUCCCGCCCCACAGAUGAGAUGAUGGGAGAGGCGCUGGGGGCGUUUCUCAAGGUCACAGAGGGGGCAGCCCCACAGCCCUUGCCUGCUCCCCCCAUGGAGCCGGCACCUCCCGACUCUGCCCGCUGGGCAGGCUCGAGCCUGGCCCUGAGACACCACCCGUGGCUGGGUAACCAAACGCACGGACGGAAAACAGAGGGGGGGAUGGAAGGCCGCGGGGACGUUCAACCUCCCGUCCAAGCUGGGGAAGGACCCCAGGCAGCCCCAGCACAGUGA
rnacentral:lncRNA from 1 species